rnacentral:lncRNA from 1 species
GUAAGUCAAGAACUUUUACUACAUCUGUUGAUAAGAGCAGACUAAGCACGACAAGGCCAAUGUGUCAUUUUAAUGAGGGAAAAUAUUUAGAGCCUCAUUAUUUGCAGGUAUUAUAAUCCCAGGCAAACGAAAUUUCUUUCUGCAAACCUAGAACCUUUGACCCAUAUUUCCUCUGUCUGCUCUGCUCUUCCAAAGCGAAGAGGACAACUCACCCCGCUUCCUUGCAUCCACGUCCAUAUGUUCUGCCACCACUGUUUCUAAGAUGCUCUCAACCACGUAGAGUAAUUCUAACUUUUAAACAAAGAAGAAUAGAUCCUGAUCAUCCCAACAGAGAUCACCAAGAGGUCAGUGUGGAGACGAAAUCCCCGACCAGUGCUGCCACCAACAGAGAAUGUCACAGCAGCCGUGCACAAGCCAGACUCACGUGUGCACAGAGCCACAUCUGUGGAGACUCACCUGGAACAUGCUUGUCUCUGGACACCUGAACACCGAUGAGCAAGGGGCAUGGCCCUAACAAGGCACAGAUGGGCUGAUUGACAUGACCCAGAAGCAGAAACAAAAACAGAAACACAGACUCGGGGUAAAAGACGACGGAAACAGUUGGCAGAGCUGAGGGUCUCCUGCUAGGGCUUCUCUGCAGGAGCCAAGGAAAGACACACCUGGUGCUGCACAGACCGCACGGUGUUGUCUCAGGCAGGGCACGUAACUGGUUUUAGAAGAUGACCCACUGAGACAUCUCUGUGGAAUCUACAAAACUGGUCAAAAUGCAAUAUUCAAAUAGUUGAGCUGUAGCUCCCAUGCUUACGAAGCGAGCAUGUGUUAAUCAUUUAUUAUAGUGAGGGAACUAGCAAAAUGUUAGAGCUGGUUUGGUUCCUGAUUUCGGUUUUAAAUUGCUUUUCUUUAAUUGGCAUCCUUUUAAUACAUUUCUUUUUUGUGUUUAAAUUGCCCAGAUUUGGUUUCUGUUGCUUGUAACUAAGAGACCUGACUACUACACAAAUUGAUACCAUCAUUAAUUGCAAACAACAGACCUCUAGAGGAAGGAAGAAAAUUUUGGAGUGUUAUCUAGCUUUGUUGGAGCUGAGGGCCAUGAAAAUGUAGCUAAGAGAUACGACUCUGGCAGCUGAUGCUUGAUGAGCUCUCCCGUGAGGUCCCCUGGAAUUCACGGUCCCAUGAAUUCAAGGCUUUAGGGAGUGAAGGCGUGCAUUGUCUGUAGAGGAUUUAAAAACAUUAAUGCAAGUAACUACAAGUUGGUUUGAUUUUUAUUAUCACCUUGUACCCACAUACCCAUCCCACUAGCUUUCUUUGGCCUCUGCAGAAAGCAGGUUGGGUCUUGGAGAAAGAACGAUGAAGAGUAGUAACUCCUGUUACAACCACCGUUGCAAUACCAGUCUUUUUGCUGGAGAAAAUCAGCACAGGCCAGUAUACAGCUUUUGACCCAGCACAUCUAUUUCUCUCUGUUCUAAUCACUAGAGAAUGUCCGAAAUACACCUCCAGUCUCUCACCUCAGAAGCACAUCACCACGGUGGUGGGGAACCGGAGUUCAGUACAUCCCAUAGGACAUCCUCCCAGGGGACAUUCUUCCGUGGGACUUUGUCCCAUGGGGCAUUCUUUGUUUCAUAGGACAUCGCACUGGCCCGCUGUAUGGAGGAUACUGGCUGAGAGGAGCUGCAGAGCCAGAGGAUGCAUUGGUAAUUGUAAUAUUUCAACUUUGUCAACUUUGGUGACAGAGAAAGAAAAACCCAGGGAAACAUUCUACAAUCGUCUUUCUGAAACUGGAGAUGACACCGCAGUAGGUUUCAGCCUCAUGUCGUCUCCUGUCUCCUUGACAGGCCCUCCUUGGUUACCCGCCUGGAAGAAGUCUCCCCACCCGGUGUUGCUACGUAUCACAAGACUUCGUUUUCUUUCACUGUAAUUGUCACGCUUUCGACCGUUUUGCGUGUUUACUUUAUUUCCAAAUCUCCUCACCUGCACCAGAUUUAACAAAUCCUCUCACUGAGGCUGACCUGGCUCCUGCUGAUCUGAGUGCCCAGCAGCCAGCAGCCUGUGAACACCGUGUGUGUCACAUGUGUUGGAGGGGGCACUGAUUUGUCCCCAACAGAGUAGACACAUCAAGCUGUGGCCCAGCGUGCUCCUGUCUGGCCAGCACCUGUGGACUGACUGAGGGUCUCACUCACCAUGGUUUUGCCACACUGCACUGCUUCUGACAAAAGAACCUGCUUUAAGGGGGAAGGAGCAGAGCAAAUGCACCCAACUGUCCACGUGACGUCUCUUUCAGGAUGUUUUAAAGGCAUCUCAUGCUCAGCACAUCCAAACCAAACUCAUGAUCUUCCCCCGUAACCCAAGGCUCUUC